GGUUUUCCGAGCGGAAAGGGGCAGAAAAAGCUGUUUUUAGCGGAAAUUGCCUUCAUAGGUCCGUUUGGGAGCAGGAUGCCGCAGGUUCGAGUCCUGUCACCUCGACCA
rnacentral:tRNA from 1 species